AUCUAUAGCUCAGUUGGAUAGAGUGUUGGACUUCGAAUCCAAAGGUCGCAGGUUCGAAUCCUGCUAGGUG
rnacentral:tRNA from 1 species